UACGAAGGGGGCUAGCGUUGCUCGGAAUCACUGGGCGUAAAGGGUGCGUAGGCGGGUCUUUAAGUCAGGGGUGAAAUCCUGGAGCUCAACUCCAGAACUGCCUUUGAUACUGAAGAUCUUGAGUUCGGGAGAGGUGAGUGGAACUGCGAGUGUAGAGGUGAAAUUCGUAGAUAUUGGGAAGAACACCAGUGGCGAAGGCGGCUCACUGGCUCGUAUCUGACGCUCAGGCGCGAUAGCGUGGGGAUCAAACAGG
rnacentral:rRNA from 1 species